UGCCCAAUGCGGGAAUCGAACCCGGGUCGUAUCGGUCGAAAACCAACGGUUUAGACCAUCCUUCCACCGACCCCACAUGUAAACUACCUUAGAGC
rnacentral:tRNA from 1 species